AAUCACAUGACAUUAAGCCCCUCCCCCUAGCUACUGUUGUGUGUGUGUUGCUCUCCUCUCAUGCAAUCAAUACACACUAUACUGAGCUGCUCUGGUUGAUGUGUAUAAUUGUUUCUACAGGGACACUGGAGGAACAUGCAAGGACUCAUACUGGCACUCCUCACCUGGAUAGGAGGCUGGAAUGGCAGUUGUAUUUUACUGAGCAUUACAAUUAUGUAGUUACUGAGCAUUGUGUCCAAUUAGCAUGCUAUAAUGAUGUGUCCUGACCUCUGACCCCAAUCACCUCUUGUCACAAUACAUGUUGUGAGCCGGCCGGAGACCACUAAUGGAACUCUAAUAGAGGAAGCGUCCAGUCUAUACAACGCACUGCUACUACUCAAGUACAAGUCUGCAUGAUAGGGAUCAUCUCUCUACGUACUGGCAGAAUUAACAAACUUCCCCCUCCUUAAAGACGAACUACUGUUGGAAUUCCAAGCAAGCAAUGCAGAGCUGAUUAAUUUUAACUCGAACAAACAAACUAUUAGACAUGUACUGAGACUGACUUCUUUAUAGUAUUGAGUCCCACUCCCCCCCAUGCAUGUGUCCCCAUGCAUGCCUCUCUGCCAUGCUCACCAGAUUACAGGAAACAGCAAGCCUAUCUACUAUACUCCUACUGCUAUACUCAAGUCAAGUCUCUAUAUCACUGGAAGGAUUUCAAUACAAACAACGUCCUCCUCCUUAAGGACGAGGACAGUGGACGGACAGCGACUGAUACUGGCACUCCUCAGAUCACCUGGGUUGUACUGCAAGGGUGGAGUUAUAUCCAGCAUUAUAAUAAUAGGCAUCAUUAUUAUUACUGCAUGAGCAUUACAUUACAUGCUGUGUCCUAACCUCUGCCCUAACAAUGUUAUUAUCACAAUACAUGUUCUGGGCCGAAGACCACUGGCGGAAUUUGGAGAAUACUAGAGGAAACAACACUAUACAGAGUAUCUACUGCUACUAUACUGAAUUAAGUCAAGUCUGUAUGGAGCAUCUCUUCACCGGCAGAAUGACAUCACUGGCAUUGGUGGAAUACAAUGUCCUCCUCCUUAAGAAAAACUACUACACUCAACUACAUCUCAUCAGUCAUAAUUCAAUCAUCAACUCAUUUUAUUUAUUGGGGGCCCCUUCAUAUUUUCAUUUCUUUUUUCAUUUUCGUUGUUAUAAAUCAUGAAAGAAGAAAAAAAUGAUCAGGAGGAGUGAUCAGGCCACACCUACAAUGUACAUGUAACUACGCCUCUAAUGCAAGGCCACACCCACCUUUCCACACCUUCAUGUGAGCUGUGGGUGUGCCUAGUACUACAUACACACAUGAUGCUUUGUCCCUGUAUAGACAGUACAUAUUAUAUAACUACACUCGAUUCUAACAACCUACAUAACCUUCAAACCAACUGGAAACUAACAGAACCUUCUAAUCAACUGGACUGGAAUAGCCUCAAUAGAUAUCCCAGAUGGUCCCAUGGGCGGAUGGGCGGGGGGCCAGCAAUGCAGUGCCACAUACUCACGACGGUGCUGGCUGUCACACUGCAUGGAGGGAGGACUAUCUCUCUAUAGUGUGCAAGAGCACUGCAAACUCAACACACUUUUGUAAUUUCAAUUUCUCAAUGAUAUGCUAGCUAUAAUUAAUGUGGUUUUGAAAAUUCAAUAAGAGAUUUUAACACAACAA